rnacentral:rRNA from 1 species
AUUCCAGCUCCAAUAGCGUAUAUUAAAGUUGUUGCAGUUAAAAAGCUCGUAGUUGGAUUUCUGACAGGGGGCCGAACACCACUGUAGUGAGUGUUUUGGUACCUGUCAUCCUUCUGUUAACCCUAGCGUCAUUCAUUUGUCGUUGGGCGGACCAGAUACUUUACCUUGAGAAAAUUAGAGUGUUUCAGGCAGGCCUAGCCGGAAUACAUUAGCAUGGAAUAAUGGAAUAGGACUAUAGUCUCGUCGUUGGUUACGUGGACUGCAGUAAUGAUUAAUAGGGAUAGUUGGGGGCAUUAGUAUUUAUUAGCUAGAGGUGGAAUUCUCUAAUUUGAUAAAGACUAACUUAUGCGAAAGCAUUUGCCAAGGAUGUUUUCAUUA